CCAGAUAUUUUCCUCUGAUUUUCAAGUGUAGCAUAUUUUCUGAAAAAAUUGUUAUCUAAUUGGGAGUUUUUUUUUUUUCGAAUGGGAAAAAUUUUGUAAAACAUAGGCAAUAUUAUUAUUAUGUGUACCAUUAUUGUAAUUAUAAGGUCAUAUGCCGUUAGAUUCAUCACCUAUAACAUUAUGAUGGUUUUUUCAACAUCCUUACGAACCAUCGCCGUCGUCCAUUGCCAUUUAUUUUGUUAUUGGCCGUUGAUGUUUUUAAGGUUAUAAUACUUAUAUUGUUAGAUUGUAAUAGUUCGCUUUUAUACCUAUUAUAAAAUAUAAAUACAUGUUGUUUGCAAAACGUAUAGGUACCUACAUGAUAAUAAUAUAAUGUGGUUUCCAUCCAUUGUUUUUUUUUUCCAUAUGAAUCGAAAGUUCCAUUCCAUUUCGAAUAUAGGUAUCUAUAUACGUAACCUGCAGCAGCACGUUCACGGCGUUAUUUAUUUACUGCGUAAAUUCGUUUGGCGGCCCGUGCCACAAAGACAAUAAUAUAAUAAUAUUCGUUUGGCAACCGCGCGCGAGACGGAGCUGAGACAUUAAUCACUCGAAAAAAAUAUAUAUAUACAUUAUUUUUUUUUACGAAAUAAGGACCUUCGUGCGGCAACGAUUGCUAUCAACUUAUGUUUUUUUUCCCCGUUAUCCUUCCCAAAUCCGCGUAUAUGCGCGUCCCGUGUAAAGAGAUGGACAUUGGACAAAUUCCAAACGUAGAAGCCUAGACAUCGCAGACGCCCUAUAAUCGUCGUACUAUAUAUA